GGGAGCGGCGGUGAGGGGCCGGGGCGGGCGUUGCCGCCUGUGGCGCAGAGGAGGCGGCAGGACAGCGGCAGGGAGGAGGGCGGCGGCGCUGCCCGUGGUGGCCCGGGGAAGCCUCUGUGGAGAACAGGCGUAUUUGCAGCCCGGGCUGGAUGGAGGCGGUUCACAGAGGCUCUCGGCUGGUGUCGUGCAGCUGCCGCGUCUUGUUGGCAGGAGGGGGCUGAGGAGGUGUAGGACUGAACUGUAGAGUGAAUAUUUGGAGAGCUUACAAAAAAAAAAAAAAAAAAAAAGAAAAAAAGAAAAAGAAAAAAAAAAGAAAAAAAGAUUUUCAAUUCAGUCUUGACCAUAAUCAGUUUUUAUGAUCACUGUGAGGCUCUGUAGCAUCCCUGCAACUGCUCCUGUCCAGCCUACUGAGAGCAGUCACGUACCUGUGCUGCAGCAUGUCUGCCUGAAGCGGUGAAGGACGCGGUCACCUAGCGCCAGGCUCCUCCGCUUCCCGGUCAGCGCAGAGCUGAGAAGCCCCACUUCGGCAUCCUGACGGCUAACCCGGGUUAGCUCGCCUCCCUCCUCCUGGAUUAUUUAAUAAAGGUGCUGCUGAAGGACUGGCAUCUGUAGAAGAACAGAGAAUAAGUUAUAUCUGCAGUGCUAUUUCCUAGUGGUAAUUAUUUCCCAUUGACUCAGACCAAAGGACAGUGAGGACACCUAACAAACAGUAUGCAGCUGAUAUGGAGAGUAAGCCAAGUCAACUGGAUGAGUCAGCACAGGCAACAUAAAGGCGUCUCAUUUUCUUAUGGCAUAAUUGCACCAUGAGAGUCAUAGAACACUUCAAAUACAAUGAUGGUGAGAGCAACAUGUAUCAAAAAAGGGACCGCAGUUAAAAGCUAGGGCUAGGACUCGGAGGAUGUGUAGGCAAACGGAAGGCGAGCCGGGGGAAGAAAAACCGAAAUGGAUUCAUUCUCUGUCCUGGAUGGAGGAGGAGAGGAGACGAAGGGGACGUGCGAGCUUCCUUCAGCUGCUCUGUCCGGUGCAAAGUGAUCAAAGCCCCGGGGCUCGCUAGGGCGCAGGAGUCCGCGCGGACUUUCGCUUUAAGCUGCCAAUCAAACCGCUCACUAGCCACCACCCUGCGCUGGCACGGACAUGAUCUGAGGGAUAUCCUAACGUUAGAGAAAACUCAGCAGCCCUCGCCCUUCCGCCCGCGCGGCGCUGCCGGUGGAGGAGCCCAGCCGGAGCGCAGAGCCGCGGCUCAGCAGCGGUCUGAAUAUUCAUAUUUAACUCUUCAAACAACGGAAGAUGCUUCAAAACCAUGCGUGAGACAAAAUGACUUUACACUUUCCAUCAUUAAACCUCUGUUUAGCUGUACUCCAGAAAUGAGUAGUUCAUAACAAGCUACGAGUCUGAUUGACAGGCUGCCAGCAGAAGCCCUUCAGCAGGAUUUUUGCAGCUCUCGCCUAGUGUGCUGUUCCUUGCUCCCUUUGGUGAGAUCCUAUUUCAAGCGCAGAGGCAAGAGGAAAAUUUGCAGAAAAGUUUCAUAUCUAAAACGUGAUUGCUCUGAAAUUAAGAAGCAACAUUUUUUUUCCUUUAUUGCUUUAGAAAUAAAGGUUGCGCUUCGUGUUCGUGUUUGCUUAGUGCACUCUGA